rnacentral:rRNA from 1 species
GGGUUGUGAGGUUAAGCGAAUAAGCGUACACGGUGGAUGCCUAGGCAAUCAGAGGCGAUGAAGGACGUGCUAAUCUGCGAAAAGCGUCGGUAAGGUGAUAUGAACCGUUAUACCCGACGAUAUCCGAAUGGGGAAACCCAGUAUCCAAUGGAUACUAUCAUUAACUGAAUCCAUAGGUUAAUGAGGCGAACCGGGAGAACUGAAACAUCUCAGUACCCCGAGGAAAAGAAAUCAACCGAGAUUCCCCUAGUAGCGGCGAGCGAACGGGGAGCAGCCCAGAGUCUUAAUCAAUAGCAGUGUCAGGAGAACGGUCUGGAAAGUCCGGCAGUAAAGGGUGAUAGCCCCGUAUCUGAAGAUGCUGUUGUUGUGAACUCGACGAGUAGGGCGGGACACGUGUUAUCCUGUCUGAAUAUGGGGGGACCAUCCUCCAAGGCUAAAUACUCCUGAUUGACCGAUAGUGAACCAGUACCGUGAGGGAAAGGCGAAAAGAACCCCGGCGAGGGGAGUGAAAAAGAACCUGAAACCGUGUACGUACAAGCAGUAGGAGCCUCUUUAUGGGGUGACUGCGUACCUUUUGUAUAAUGGGUCAGCGACUUAUAUUCUGUAGCAAGGUUAACCGUAUAGGGGAGCCGUAGGGAAACCGAGUCUUAACUGGGCGAAUGAGUUGCAGGGUAUAGACCCGAAACCCGGUGAUCUAUCCAUGGGCAGGUUGAAGGUUGGGUAACACUAACUGGAGGACCGAACCGACUAAUGUUGAAAAAUUAGCGGAUGACUUGUGGAUGGGGGUGAAAGGCCAAUCAAACCGGGAGAUAGCUGGUUCUCCCCGAAAGCUAUUUAGGUAGCGCCUCGUGAAUUCAUCUUCGGGGGUAGAGCACUGUUUCGACUAGGGGGUCAUCCCGACUUACCAACUCGAUGCAAACUGCGAAUACCGAAGAAUGUUAUCACGGGAGACACACGGCGGGUGCUAACGUCCGUCGUGAAGAGGGAAACAACCCAGACCGCCAGCUAAGGUCCCAAAGUCAUGGUUAAGUGGGAAACGAAGUGGGAAGGCUCAGACAGCCAGGAUGUUGGCUUAGAAGCAGCCAUCAUUUAAAGAAAGCGUAAUAGCUCACUGGUCGAGUCGGCCCGCGCGGAAGAUGUAACGGGGCUAAACCAUGCACCGAAGCUGCGGCAGCGACACAAAGUGUUGUUGGGUAGGGGAGCGUUCUGUAAGCCUGCGAAGGUGUACUGUGAGGUAUGCUGGAGGUAUCAGAAGUGCGAAUGCUGACAUAAGUAACGAUAAUGCGGGUGAAAAACCCGCACGCCGGAAGACCAAGGGUUCCUGUCCAACGUUAAUCGGGGCAGGGUGAGUCGACCCCUAAGGCGAGGCUGAAAAGCGUAGUCGAUGGGAAACGGGUUAAUAUUCCCGUACUGGUGGUAACUGCGAUGGGGGAACGGAGAAGGCUAGGUUGUCCGGGCGACGGUCGUCCCGGUUCAAGCAGGUAGGCAGAGUGAUUAGGCAAAUCCGGUCACUUAAUGCUGAGAUGUGAUGACGAACCACCAAGGUGGUGAAGCAAUUGAUGCCCCGCUUCCAGGAAAAGCCUCUAAGCUUCAGGUUACCAACAAUCGUACCCCAAACCGACACAGGUGGUCAGGUAGAGAAUACUCAGGCGCUUGAGAGAACUCGGGUGAAGGAACUAGGCAAAAUGGUGCCGUAACUUCGGGAGAAGGCACGCUGGCGGUAGGUAAAGUCCCUCGCGGACAGAGCUGAAGCCAGUCGAAGAUACCAGCUGGCUGCAACUGUUUAUUAAAAACACAGCACUGUGCAAACACGAAAGUGGACGUAUACGGUGUGACGCCUGCCCGGUGCUGGAAGGUUAAUUGAUGGGGUUAGCGUAAGCGAAGCUCCUGAUCGAAGCCCCAGUAAACGGCGGCCGUAACUAUAACGGUCCUAAGGUAGCGAAAUUCCUUGUCGGGUAAGUUCCGACCUGCACGAAUGGCGUAAUGAUGGCCAGGCUGUCUCCACCCGAGACUCAGUGAAAUUGAACUCGCUGUGAAGAUGCAGUGUACCCGCGGCAAGACGGAAAGACCCCGUGAACCUUUACUAUAGCUUGACACUGAACAUUGAGCCUUGAUGUGUAGGAUAGGUGGGAGGCUUUGAAGUGUGGACGCCAGUCUGCAUGGAGCCAACCUUGAAAUACCACCCUUUAACGUUUGAUGUUCUAACCUAGGCCCAUAAACUGGGUCGGGGACCGUGUCUGGUGGGUAGUUUGACUGGGGCGGUCUCCUCCUAAAGAGUAACGGAGGAGCACGAAGGUUGGCUAAGCAUGGUCGGACAUCAUGCGGUUAGUGCAAAGGCAUAAGCCAGCUUGACUGCGAGAGUGACGGCUCGAGCAGGUACGAAAGUAGGUCUUAGUGAUCCGGUGGUUCUGAAUGGAAGGGCCAUCGCUCAACGGAUAAAAGGUACUCCGGGGAUAACAGGCUGAUACCGCCCAAGAGUUCAUAUCGACGGCGGUGUUUGGCACCUCGAUGUCGGCUCAUCACAUCCUGGGGCUGAAGUAGGUCCCAAGGGUAUGGCUGUUCGCCAUUUAAAGUGGUACGCGAGCUGGGUUUAGAACGUCGUGAGACAGUUCGGUCCCUAUCUGCCGUGGGCGUUGGAAGAUUGAGAGGGGUUGCUCCUAGUACGAGAGGACCGGAGUGAACGCACCACUGGUGUUCGGGUUGUCAUGCCAAUGGCAUUGCCCGGUAGCUAAGUGCGGAAGAGAUAACCGCUGAAAGCAUCUAAGCGGGAAACUUGCCUCGAGAUGAGUCUUCCCUGUCGCUUUAAGCGACCUAAAGGAACGUUUAAGACUAAGACGUUGAUAGGCUGGGUGUGUAAGCGUAGCGAUACGUUGAGCUAACCAGUACUAAUGAACCGUGAGGCUUAACCUGACAACACCGAAAGUGUUUUG